GAAAUAUAAGAACCGUGUACGGAGUCGUAUCUCCAACCUGAAGGAUGCCAAGAACCCUGACCUGCGGCGGAAUGUGCUGUGUGGGGCCAUAACACCUCAGCAGAUCGCCGUGAUGACCUCAGAGGUGAGCCCCUGUUGGAGGGGCUGGAGGGCUGCUCCCUCGGAGCGGUGGGCUAAGCCACUGGCCCCGUGCUCCAGGAGAUGGCCAGUGACGAGCUGAAGGAGAUCCGUAAGGCCAUGACCAAGGAGGCCAUCCGAGAGCACCAGAUGGCCCGCACUGGCGGCACGCAGACAGACCUGUUCACCUGCGGGAAGUGCAGGAAGAAGAACUGCACCUACACACAGGUGCAGACCCGCAGCUCUGACGAGCCCAUGACCACCUUUGUUGUCUGCAACGAGUGUGGAAACCGCUGGAAGGUGGGUGAGCGGGCUCAGGCUGCUCCUCCCAGCUCCAUUCUCUGGAGGUGGGGUGUCUCAGCCUCUGUGGGGUCUGUGGUGUGAACUGGGGAUGGCCCUGCCCGACCAGCCUCCUGGGAGUCUUGGGCAUGGUGGGUUGAGACCCCAGCCUUGGGUGAGCCUGUGCGGCUUUCCACUCUGGGGGAUCUCAUGUGGCCACAAGGCUGGAGGCCUCACCCCCUUUCUCGCAGUUCUGCUGAGCCCUCGUGUAGAUGUGCUGCAGCCUUGGGCCCUCCCCUGCCCACGUCCUCCGUUGACACAGCUUCUCUGGAGACCCUAGAAGGCGGCAUGUCCUGCCCUCAACCUGCCUGCCUGGAUUGCACCUUUCUGCCCUUUCCCCCUCGUUAUUAAAUGUUUCUUUUUGCC
rnacentral:sRNA from 1 species